CACGUAGGGUGCAAGCGUUGUCCGGAUUUACUGGGCGUAAAGGGCGCGUAGGCGGUCAGCACAAGUCAGUUGUGAAAUCUCCGGGCUUAACUCGGAAAGGUCAACUGAUACUGUGCGACUAGAGUGCAGAAGGGGCAACUGGAAUUCUCGGUGUAGCGGUGAAAUGCGUAGAUAUCGAGAGGAACACCUGCGGCGAAGGCGGGUUGCUGGGCUGACACUGACGCUGAGGCGCGAAAGCCAGGGGAGCGAACGGG
rnacentral:rRNA from 1 species